CAGAGACAACACUUGGAGAUGAUGUUCCUUCCAUUAAUGAGGAAGACAUUGUUGUUGAGCCAAAGUCUCCACAAUCUGUAGGAAAUGUACCUUUACCUUCAAGAAAAGAGGAUGCACUUCAAAAACCUGCAGAGAGCGGCAUCCAUACCCCAGACACACAAUCCCUCGAGAGG